AUUUUUAUUGUUCAUCGGAGGAAAAGAAACCAACAGGGAUUGCCCUAGUAACGGCGAGUGAAGCGGCAACAGCUCAAAUUUGAAAGCUGGCUCCGGCCCGCAUUGUAAUUUGCAGAGGAUGCUUCUGGUGAGGUGCCUUCCGAGUUCCCUGGAACGGGACGCCAUAGAGGGUGAGAGCCCCGUAUGGAUGGACACCAAACCUGUGUGAAGCUCCUUCAACGAGUCGAGUAGUUUGGGAAUGCUGCUCAAAAUGGGAGGUAAAUCUCUUCUAAAGCUAAAUACCGGCCAGAGACCGAUAGCGCACAAGUAGAGUGAUCGAAAGAUGAAAAGCACCUUGAAAAGGGGGUUAAACAGUACGUGAAAUUGUUGAAAGGGAAGCACUUGUGACCAGACUUGCGCCGGGCAGCUCAUCAGGGGUUCUCCCCUGUGCACUCUGCCCGGCUCAGGCCAGCAUCGGUUCUCGUGGGAGGAUAAGAACGAUGGGAACGUGGCCCCCCUCCGGGGGGGUGUUAUAGCCCAACGUACGAUACUCUCGUGGGGACCGAGGUUCGCGCUCCGCAAGGAUGCUGGCGUAAUGGUCAUCAGUGACCCGUCUAAAACCUGGCACCCAAGGGUGAGCUG
rnacentral:rRNA from 1 species